CACGUAGGGGACGAGCGUUGUCCGGAUUCAUUGGGCGUAAAGCGCGCGUAGGCGGCUCGGAAAGUCGGUCGUGAAAUGCCGGGGCUCAACCCCGGGACUGCGUCCGAUACUUCCGGGCUGGAGGUAGGUAGGGGAGAUCGGAAUUCCUGGUGUAGCGGUGAAAUGCGCAGAUAUCAGGAGGAACACCGGUGGCGAAGGCGGAUCUCUGGGCCGAUACUGACGCUGAGGAGCGAAAGCGUGGGGAGCGAACAGG
rnacentral:rRNA from 1 species